UGGAGAACCGUGGAGCCCAGCAGAGAGUGUGGCUCCCGGAAGCCGGGGAGCACCAGGGGACACAUCCUCCACUAGAGCUUCCAGAGGGAGCACAGCCCUGGCGACGCCCUGAUCUUACCCUGCUGAGACCCACGCUGGACUUCUGAACGACAGAAUUGUUUUCAACCUGCAGCCUUUCUCGAGGUCUCGGAGGUUGGCUGCCUGCUGCGGAAAAUUGUGCUUCCCACACCAGCAGUUUGGAGUCCAAGUGGGCUGAGCAGGGGCAGCUGCUCCCUCUUGUCAUCAUGUAGUAAAACAGGGAGCGGCUCGUGUAUUUAUAACUCUCCGGGCCUGCUCGUCAGCAUCUUCCAAAGGACUCGGAGCUGUCUGCGCCCUGCACUACGGGGAGUUGCAUCAAGCAAACGCAUUAAGGAGCAGCAGCAGGAGACAAAGAAACUUCAGCACAGCCUGGCUUCUCUCUCUGCAUGAUCAGUUGUUCCAGCUUUGCACGUGCUUCCUAAAGCAGUGGUUCCUGAGCUGCUCUGUGAGUCAGAAUCAGCUGGGGAACUUGGACAAAAUGCUGACGCUCAGGCCCCACCUGCCCCUGAUCCUGGUUCAGGUGGUCUGGAAACUGGAAGACGAUCCUGCAAGGUGGAGAAGUGGGUACGAGCUCAGCUCUAACGAUAAAGAAACCAAUUUUUAAAUACGGAACAAAGAUAAGAACAGGCACUUCACAGCAGAAGGAAAUCCAAAUGGCCAAUCAAUAGCCGCCGAAUUCCCUGAAGACGUCACCGGCUUUGGAUUCAGAGUUGCACACCGAGUUCAGCUCCUUCCCUCGUCAGCUGUGUGGCCUUGAACAAGAACCAUCACUCCUCUGUGCCCAUCGACUAGUGACUGGAUAAACAGACAGUAUAUCUCCACACCGUGGCCUACCACUCGGCAAUAAGAGGGAGCAAACGCAUCACCCACCCCUGACCCUAAACCCUGACCACUUGGAUGCAUCUUGAAACCCUCGUGCUAAGGGGAAAAAAGUCAAACACAAAAGGUGCUGUACUGUAUGAGUCCAUUCAUAUGAAAUUCCAGAAAAAGAAAAACUGUGUUGACAGAAAGCAGAUUGGUAGUUGCCGGGGCCAGGGGUGGGGAGAGAGAGGAGGAAACCUUUUGGGCGAGGUUUUAUAUCUGUAUUGUGGUGGUAGUUAUGCGAUUGUUAACCAAAAUUCAUCCAGUAGUACACUUAAAAUCAGUGAUUUUUACUGUCUAUAAAUGAUACCUUAAUAAAAUGAUACCUUAAUAAACUGAAAAAGAGGCUGACAGUAGCAUAAUGUGACCCCGAGUGACUCAGGGCUAGUUUAGCCGGGGUGGCCCUGGAAGGCCGCUCUGAGGAGGUGCCAUUUGGUGCCAACUCUAGGAAC